UUGAAGAAAAGUGGGGGUGAUAAUGGAGUGGCCAAAAGGGGUCAAUGGAUGUAAAAACCCAAAAUAAUGGGUGAAUUAGGUUAAACUUUAAUUGCAAAAUACAGUUGUUUUGAAUUUGCUGCAGAAAGUGAUCUAUGUCUGUGGUGGUGAGUGGAGAGGGGGAAGCAUUAGGAAUGUGGCCUGGGCAUUAAGGGGGCGACAGCUUGGAGUCAGUA